UACGUAGGUGGCAAGCGUUGUCCGGAAUUAUUGGGCGUAAAGCGCGCGCAGGCGGUCCUUUAAGUCUGAUGCGAAAGCCCACGGCUCAACCGUGGAGGGUCAUUGGAAACUGGGGGACUUGAGUGCAGAAGAGGAGAGUGGAAUUCCACGUGUAGCGGUGAAAUGCGUAGAGAUGUGGAGGAACACCAGUGGCGAAGGCGACUCUCUGGUCUGUAACUGACGCUGAGGCGCGAAAGCGUGGGGAGCAAACAGG
rnacentral:rRNA from 1 species